AAUGAACGUUGGCGGCGUGGAUUAGGCAUGCAAGUCGCGCGACAAGGUUCCUUCGGGGACUGGAGGAGCGGCAAACGGGGUAGUAAGGCAUCGGAACGUACCCUCUCGUCUGGGAUAGCCACGGGAAACUGUGAGUAAUACCGGAUGAUAUCGAGAGAUCAAAGGUCCGCCGCGAGGGGAGCGGCCGAUGUGAUACCAGCUAGUUGGUAGGGUAAUGGCCUACCAAGGCUUAGACGUCUAGGGGGUGUGAGAGCAUGGCCCCCACACUGGGACUGAGAUACUGCCCAGACACCUACGGGUGGCUGCAGUCGAGAAUCUUCGGCGAAUGGGCGCAAGCCUGACCGAGCAACGCCGCGUGCGGGA
rnacentral:rRNA from 1 species